rnacentral:sRNA from 2 species
GCGAUGGCCGCGCCGAACCCCGCGGACCCCCCGUCCCGGGAACCGGGGCCCGAUCUCUGCCGCGGGAGUCUUCGUCCCCGGCAUGGACGGAAGGGCGACUCCGGCCCGAACCCGGCAGCUCACCCGGUAGGCGGCAGAGGAGAGGACAG